rnacentral:rRNA from 1 species
AAGGACGAACGCUGGCGGCGUGCCUAACACAUGCAAGUCGAACGAGUCCACUCUUUCGGGAGUGAGGCGAGUGGCGGACGGGUGAGUAACACGUGAGCAACCUAUCCUUGUGCGGGGGACAACCCGGGGGAAACCCGGGCUAAUACCGCAUGGGCAGGCACCUCGGAGUGGGGGAGCCGUAGGGAAAGAUGGCCUCUUUACAAUGCUGUCGUGCGAGGGGAGGGCUCGGCGGGCUAUCAGUCGUAGGGUUGGGGGGGUAAUCGGCCCACGAAGGCAGGCGACGGUCGUACGGGGUCUAGGAGAGGACCGACCCCGCACUAGUUGGAACUGAACGACGACCGGUCCAGACCUCCGGUACGGGAGGACCGCGAGGUGGGAAGUAGUUAGGGACG